rnacentral:rRNA from 1 species
GGAUGAACGCUGGCGGCGUGCCUAAUACAUGCAAGUCGAGCGAACAGACGAGGAGCUUGCUCCUCUGACGUUAGCGGCGGACGGGUGAGUAACACGUGGAUAACCUACCUAUAAGACUGGGAUAACUUCGGGAAACCGGAGCUAAUACCGGAUAAUAUAUUGAACCGCAUGGUUCAAUAGUGAAAGACGGUUUUGCUGUCACUUAUAGAUGGAUCCGCGCCGCAUUAGCUAGUUGGUAAGGUAACGGCUUACCAAGGCAACGAUGCGUAGCCGACCUGAGAGGGUGAUCGGCCACACUGGAACUGAGACACGGUCCAGACUCCUACGGGAGGCAGCAGUAGGGAAUCUUCCGCAAUGGGCGAAAGCCUGACGGAGCAACGCCGCGUGAGUGAUGAAGGUCUUCGGAUCGUAAAACUCUGUUAUUAGGGAAGAACAAAUGUGUAAGUAACUAUGCACGUCUUGACGGUACCUAAUCAGAAGGCCACGGCUAACUACGUG